UUCUUGGCAUUUUGGUAUCCGUGCUUGUUUCCCUUGGUUUUCUUGAAGGAUGUGGGGUAAGAUACAUGGAGAUUUCUUGAUGGGUUGUUGUUACUGUUAUGAAAAGGUUUAGGCCUAAGACGAUUAGGGUUAGGAUUCAAAGCUGGAGGGCCUCUGUGCCAGAGAGAGUGAAGGUAAAUGACCUCAUCUCUGAGCCUCUGUUCAUAAGGCGUCAAGGGUUUUUCAUAGGGAUUCAUGGCCAAGAAAUUUGAUUUGGG
rnacentral:misc_RNA from 1 species